AGAGUUUGAUCCUGGCUCAGGAUGAACGCUAGCGACAGGCUUAACACAUGCAAGUCGAGGGGCAGCGGUGGUGAAGGCUUGCCUUUACCAGCCGGCGACCGGCGCACGGGUGAGUAACACGUAUGCAACCUGCCUGCCACAGCCGGAUAAUCGGGAGAAAUUCCGUCUAAUACGGCAUAAUGCAUCGACGGGACAUCCUGUUGGUGCCAAAGGUUGAUUCCGGUGGCGGAUGGGCAUGCGUCGCAUUAGUUAGUUGGCGGUGUAACGGACCACCAAGACGACGAUGCGUAGGGGUUCUGAGAGGAAGGUCCCCCACACUGGUACUGAGACACGGACCAGACUCCUACGGGAGGCAGCAGUGAGGAAUAUUGGUCAAUGGGCGGGAGCCUGAACCAGCCAAGUCGCGUGAGGGAUGACGGCCCUAUGGGUUGUAAACCUCUUUUGCCGGGGAGCAAAGUGCCGCACGUGUGCGGUUUGGAGAGUACCCGGAGAAAAAGCAUCGGCUAACUCCGUGCCAGCAGCCGCGGUAAUACGGAGGAUGCGAGCGUUAUCCGGAUUUAUUGGGUUUAAAGGGUGCGUAGGCGGACGCUUAAGUCAGCGGUAAAAUUGCGGGGCUCAACCUCGUCGAGCCGUUGAAACUGGGUGCCUUGAGUGGGCGAGAAGUACGCGGAAUGCGUGGUGUAGCGGUGAAAUGCAUAGAUAUCACGCAGAACUCCGAUUGCGAAGGCAGCGUACCGGCGCCCAACUGACGCUGAAGCACGAAGGCGUGGGUAUCGAACAGGAUUAGAUACCCUGGUAGUCCACGCAGUAAACGAUGAAUGCUAGUUGUCCGGGGCGAUUGAGUUCUGGGUGACACAGCGAAAGCGUUAAGCAUUCCACCUGGGGAGUACGCCGGCAACGGUGAAACUCAAAGGAAUUGACGGGGGCCCGCACAAGCGGAGGAACAUGUGGUUUAAUUCGAUGAUACGCGAGGAACCUUACCCGGGCCCAAACGCAGGAGGGAUGUUUUUGAAAGGAGGCAGCCAGCAAUGGUCUCCUGCGAGGUGCUGCAUGGUUGUCGUCAGCUCGUGCCGUGAGGUGUCGGCUUAAGUGCCAUAACGAGCGCAACCCCUACCUACAGUUGCCAUCGCGUGAUGGCGGGCACUCUGUGGGGACUGCCUGCGCAAGCAGUGAGGAAGGCGGGGAUGACGUCAAAUCAGCACGGCCCUUACGUCCGGGGCGACACACGUGUUACAAUGGCAGGUACAGCGGGAAGCCACCCGGCGACGGGGCGCGGAACCCGAAAACCUGUCUCAGUUCGGAUUGGAGUCUGCAACCCGACUCCAUGAAGCUGGAUUCGCUAGUAAUCGCGCAUCAGCCACAGCGCGGUGAAUACGAUCCCGGGCCUUGUACUCACCGCCCGUCAAG
rnacentral:rRNA from 1 species